CUAGUCGCCCACACCAUCAUGGGCCGCGAUGACAACUUAAGCGUCGUAAACGCCAAUGAGCUCUUCUUUCUUUGGUGUAUGGUCACUGGGCAGCAUAGUAGCACAGGUUUCUUCCUGUGCAACCACCUUCGCCGAAAAUCUUACCAGCCGACAGGCCACAUAAUACUCGACGGGCUCAUCACUACCAUAGCACUUCACUUCGGAUUUGUCCCAGGCCAUCACAAGCUGCGCUCCAUCCCUGGCAUCGCCAGAAUUGAUUAAACCAUAUGCAUAUCCAUGGGGAUAUGUAAG
rnacentral:misc_RNA from 1 species